AAAAAAAAGAAAAAAAAGCAAAAACUAGCUGGAGAGAGAGACAGAGAGAGAUGCGUUCGAGAGAGAAAGAGCGAAGACGAAGAAGAGAACAUGAAGAGAAGAUGGCGGGAAGAGGAGUCAUUCGGAGCGACAGCUUUGCUUGCGACGGCCAUUGCUCCAUCCGGUCGAUGAUGACCCACCCCUCCGGCCGGAGCUCUCGUACCUCUUCCUCGCACCGCCCAAUUUCAGGUCCCUCUCUGUCGGUCUUUCUCCUUCUCUGUCCAUCUUAGUCUCUCUCCGUCGAUCUCGGCCGCAAAUCACAGGUUUCUCUCUCUUGGUCUUUAUCCCUCUCUGUCGAUCUCGGCCACAAAUCACAGGCUUUUCUCUCUUUCUCUCUAGGGAGUGGCUGAUCGAGUCUUAGUCUCUUGCCUACUAGUAAGGGUAGUUUGGUUACUAUUGCAAGGGCAUUGAGGUAUUUUUAUUUGAUUAUUUUAUAGUUCAUACCUCUUGAGUUUUGCCUGUCCUCUUGUCGUGGAAAUUGGAUGAGUGAUUCAUCUCACAAUCACUCUGUCAAUCUACUUGUGUAGCAUCUUUCACACAUGGAAGCAUUGUGGCGGAGCUCUGAUGCGAAAAUUGAUAAAGCACAGCCAGCCAUUAAAAUCAGGCUAGGGACAAAGCUAUGGUUGUCAACUUAGAGUUUAUAAAGGCUAUAGUUACAGCUGAAGAAGUGCUGUUGCUUGAUCCUCUCUGCCAGGAGGUUCUUCCGUUUGUGGAUCUGCUGCGGCAGCAACUUCUUCAUAAAAGCGUGUCCAAAAGUCAAGGAGGGGGUCAAAUGGAUGUACAAGAUAAUGAAAUGCAAUUAUCAUCUAGGGGACAAUGGUUAUCCGUUCCUAAAGCCGUUGAAGGUUUGUAGUGUGACCUCCCAUUUGAGUUUCAAGUUGUUGAGAUUGCAUUGAAGGUUGUUUGUACAUAUUUGGACUCUAGUGUAGCAGACCUUGAGAGAAAUGCUUACCCUGUAUUGGAUGAACCGGUGAGGAAUGUUAGCACCAAGAAUCUUGAGCACGUGAGGAGUUUGAAAAGCAAUCUGGCCAGUUUACUUGUACGGGCACAAAAGGUGCGUGAUGAAAUUGAACAUCUUUUAGAUGACAAUGAAGACAUGGCACAUUUAUACUUAACAAGGAAAUGGAUUCAGAGUCAGCAAUUUGAGGCUUAUUUAGCAGGUACGGCUUUUAACAGCAUUGUCAGUGCUUGACAUCAACUUCGGCAUCUUAGUUCUAAUAGGAGUGGAAGUUUAUUGUUGAGCAACCAUUUCUGUACUCAACUAAUUUCACAAUACAAAAUUAGACUACAACCAUGAGAACACACAUUCAAGUCAGAAACCAUUUUGUUCUUCCCCUGUUUCUCUGAUCUCUACUAAUAUGAAUGAAACCACUUUGAUUAUUUUCUUUCCUUUGUUUCGAUU